rnacentral:sRNA from 1 species
ACAAAACAUGAAACAACAAGGACAGAACAACAAGAGAUGGUAUGAUGAUGGUGGCUUCACUGUCCCACAGAUCACUCCUCCUCCUCUUUCUUCUA